UUGUUCGUAAGUUGACAGAUGACGAUGAGGUUAUUUCUUCUUUUCUGAAACGAGUUGAACUGGAGCAGGUUAGUAUGUCUUUUGGAAAUGUUACUGGGCGCGAUGAUGGUAUACCUGCACAUAAUGUCUCAAACAAGGAUGUUGUGUCAAUAACUGGGG